UACGUAGGGGGCGAGCGUUGUCCGGAGUUACUGGGCGUAAAGCGCACGCAGGCGGUCUGCCAAGUUUGGAGUGACAGUUGGUGGCUUAACUGCCAAAGUGCUUCGAAAACUGACAGACUUGGGGGCUUCAGAGGGACACGGAAUUCCGGGUGGAGUGGUGAAAUGCGUAGAGAUCCGGAGGAACACCAAAGGCGAAGGCAGUGUCCUGGGGAGUACCUGACGCUCAGGUGCGAAAGCCAGGGGAGCGAACGGG
rnacentral:rRNA from 1 species